AGCAGCCGCGGUAAUUCCAGCUCCAAUAGCGUAUAUUAAAGUUGUUGCAGUUAAAAAGCUCGUAGUUGAAUUUCGGGAUUAGUAAGUUGGUCGUGCCUCUGGUAUGUACUGGCUUUACUGGUUCCUCCUUCUUGAAGAACUGUAAUGUUAUUAAUUUGGUGUUGCAGGGAAACAGGACUGUUACUUUAGAAAAAAUUAGAGUGUUUAAAGCAGGCUAACGCUUGAAUACAUUAGCAUGGAAUAAUGAAAUAGGACGUUUGAUCCUAUUUUGUUGGUUUCUAGGAUUGACGUAAUGAUUAAUAGGGAUAGUUGGGGGCAUUAGUAUUCAAUUGUCAGAGGUGAAAUUCUUGGAUUUAUUGAAGACUUAACUACUGCGAAAGCAUUUGCCAAGGAUGUUUUCAUUAAUCAAGAACGAAAGUUAGGGGAUCGAAGACGAUCAGAUACCGUCGUAGUCUUAACCAUAAACUAUGCCGACUAGGGAUCGGAUGAUGUUAAUUUUUUAAUGUACUCAUUUCGGCGU
rnacentral:rRNA from 1 species